rnacentral:lncRNA from 1 species
UUAAAAACCCGAAUCCGAAACUCAAAUUGAAACCCAAACCCGGACCCGAGCCCGACAGGUUUUAAAAAUCUAUACCCAUAUCUGACCCCAACUAAAAAUCCGAAGCCCGAGCCCAACCCGAAAAUCCGAACCAGAAAUAAUAAUUUUCUUUACUAUAUUUCAAAAUAUAUUAUAGUAAAAUCAAAAUUUUCAAAACACAACAAAAUACAACAUUAAACAUUCAUGCCAUACAAUACCAAUAUCUA